rnacentral:lncRNA from 1 species
AUGCCCCACUCGAUUCUGUGGUUGAUCAGUGCCCCCAGGCGCCGAACACAAACGCUCAUCGGAGCCCUUGCAAAAGGUGUUGGUUGGUCGAGACAGCAAGGUGGUGGCCAUGGAAGUUGGAAUCCGCGAAGGAGUGUAAUGACUUCACUGCCGUAUCAACUGGCCCUGGAAAUGGAUGGCGCUCCAGCUUCUGAGGUCGCUGUGUCCUGCAAAUUCAACAGACAUUUGAUAUCAGCGGCAAGAUCCCUUUGCAACAAUUUAUCUUCAACUCGGAUCAACUUGGAAUCGGAAAUGGUCACACGACCAUGGACAUUCUGCUUUUCCUCCCAACAAUAGCGAAG